rnacentral:misc_RNA from 1 species
AUUGAUUUUCUGUCAGAACCCUGUCGAAGUAUUUGGCUUGGGUGAUGGAAUUAAUUGGUAUUAUUUGCUAUCAUUGGAGAAAAUGGCGACGCGUAUUAUUUUGGUUUCAUGCUGUGUUGGUUAAUGCUUCAUUCAGGCGUGAGCAGGCGAGCAGCCCAUCGAGCCAUCAUUCUUUAGAGAACCUACUCGGGUCAAGUUGGAUUACAGUGCAAGGGCAAAAAUAGAAGGAUCAAGAUUGUCUAAUUUUGGUUGCUCAAUCUUAUGUAAGGCUGGG